rnacentral:rRNA from 1 species
UACCAGACUCCUACGGGAGGCAGCAGUGGGGAAUAUUGCACAAUGGGGGAAACCCUGAUGCAGCGACGCCGCGUGAGCGAUGAAGUAUCUCGGUAUGUAAAGCUCUCUCAGCAGGGAAGAAAGAAAUGACGGUACCUGACUAAGAAGCCCCGGCUAACUACGUGCCAGCAGCCGCGGUAAUACGUAGGGGGCAAGCGUUAUCCGGAUUUACUGGGUGUAAAGGGAGCGUAGACGGCUGAGCAAGUCUGAAGUGAAAGGCGGGGGCCCAACCCCCGGACUGCUUUGGAAACUGUAUAGCUAGGGUGCAGGAGAGGUAAGUGGAAUUCCUAGUGUAGCGGUGAAAUGCGUAGAUAUUAGGAGGAACACCAGUGGCGAAGGCGGCUUACUGGACUGUAACUGACGUUGAGGCUCGAAAGCGUGGGGAGCAAACAGGAUUAGAUACCCUCGUAAA